rnacentral:tRNA from 1 species
GAUAAGGUGGCUGAGUGAUAAGCGGUGGGUUGUAGCCCCAUGCACAGGGGUUUAAUUCCUCUUCUUAUCA